UGUGACCCUGCCCGUCACCCGGCGUCCUGUCGGGGCGGGGCUCCGCGUCUACAACAAGACUUCUGAUUGGCUGCCCGUUCCACGGUCCCGGCGGGGGGCGGGAUCCUGGGCAACAACACGACUCCCGAUUGGCCAAGGGCGGUGACGGUUGCCGUGCACCUGCUUGCGGUCUCCGGCCUCCGCGCAUGCUCCGGGGCUCCGCCGGGCCGGGGGCGGCUUUGAUGUCUGUGAGGGGCCUCGCGGCGGUGCGGCCGGGACUCAAGGGCUUUGCAGGCGGAGGGCGAGCGGCUGACCCCUGACCCUCGGACCGGCGGGCAGGGCUGCGGCUGCGGAGUGAGCGUAGGUCCCGGCGGCCGGGCCUCUGCCGGGAGGGGAGCGGGGGGCGCCUUACGCGGGAGGCACUUUCCGGCGAGAGUCCGUCGGGCCGGGGCGGCUGCGUGGAGCGUCCGCACGGAUCGUGACGGUGACGGUGACCGGAGCACGGGGAUCGCUCGGAGCCGGUCUUGGCAGUCUUUUAUUGAACAGACUAUUUCAUCAAGGUUCUGAGUUGGAAUUUCUUCUGGAUUGAGCUCUUUCUGUUGUUAGCAAUAUGAUUGAAUCCAUAUAUAUCACAAAAUCUGAUAUGUGAUGACUGUAAAUAAAGGAUAAGUUUUCCUUGAAA